CACGGCCGUGCGGGGCCUUCGGGGCGCUGCGGGGAAGAAGCUGUCUGGAAAGAAUGUGCGGACAUAAAUCUCCGCAGCGUGAGAUAAAGCAUCAGACGCGGUUUAGUGUUUUGUAGGAAGAGAAUUUCCUUGCGGUUUCUCGCAAGAGGUGUCAGGGGCAUCGCUUGAUGGGCAGCGUGGCUGUAGGGGCUCGGCUUUGUUUUCUGCCCUGCCGACGUAAGUGAUGCGCCCCAAUCCGUAGUCAGCUGUGGUUGGUGUGCGCCGGGUGUCCCCUGGGCGUGAGGAGUGGUCCUUGAACUGCCAGCUCUGGGCUGGGCUUCCUGAGCGCGUGCCUUUGUUUGGUUUGGUUUCUUCAGGUGGUUAAAAAAGGGGGAACCGCUGUUCCUUUUCGGUGCUCCCAGCGCAGUAUUUCAAGUUCCUCUUUGCCGAGAGAAUUCAGCAGAGUGGGUUUUGCUGGAGUUGCGAUAGAUUGGGUUAUUUGCAGAAGGGAUUCCUCAGAGGCCUUGUCUCCACUAAGCAAUUACAUUAUUGUUUUUACCCAGCAGUACAGCUCCUGUGCAAGCGCCGGCAGCUCUGGUUUUACAGUGAAGGAACAAAAAGCCACGAUCCUUUAUACCAAAGGAAAGAAAUUGCACUGAGUGGCUUUUCUGCAUAUCCAGAUAACUUUGGGUGUUCUGGCAAUGCCCACAAAGAUGAAGGAGCAGAAUAAAAUUUGUGAUGCGACAGUCAGCAGCCCAGGUGGAGAGCUGCGUACUCUCUUGGCAAAGGAUGUUUGCAGAGCAGUGCAUGGAAGUGGAUGCUUGGCUGUGUCCUGGUAUUGGUGGCACAAGAUAAACGACAUUGGGUGCAUUACUUCAGGAUUAGGAAGGAGACUUUUAGGAGUAUUGGAAAAGGAAGUAGAACAGCUGCUGUAAAGCCAUGCAAGAGACGUGAUGCUUGUGAACAGUUGUGAAAAAAAAAAAUUAGAUCUAUGAAUGGAAAGCAUUAUACAAAUAAAAUGUAAACAGUUUGUAUGUUUGAGCUACCUUUAAGGCAUCUUCAAAGCAUUGCAUAAAGUUACU